rnacentral:rRNA from 1 species
GAUGAACGCUGACAGAAUGCUUAACACAUGCAAGUCAACUUGAAUUUGGGUUUUUUAACUUAGAUUUGGGUGGCGGACGGGUGAGUAACGCGUAAAGAACUUGCCUCACAGCUAGGGACAACAUUUGGAAACGAAUGCUAAUACCUGAUAUUAUGAUUAUAAGGCAUCUUAGAAUUAUGAAAGCUAUAUGCGCUGUGAGAGAGCUUUGCGUCCCAUUAGCUAGUUGGAGAGGUAACGGCUCACCAAGGCGAUGAUGGGUAGCCGGCCUGAGAGGGUGAACGGCCACAAGGGGACUGAGACACGGCCCUUACUCCUACGGGAGGCAGCAGUGGGGAAUAUUGGACAAUGGUCCAAGAGUCUGAUCCAGAAAUUCUGUGUGCACGAUGACGUUUUUCGGAAUGUAAAGUGCUUUCAGUUGGGAAGAAAAAAAUGACGGUACCAACAGAAGAAGUGACGGCUAAAUACGUG